rnacentral:lncRNA from 1 species
AAAGCUGAAAAAUAAGUGCGAAAAUUAAAUUAAACUAAAAAUAAAAUAAAAUAUGAAAAUAUAAUAAUAUAUAAAAAUAAACAAAAUAAAAUAAAGAAAUGCCUAAGUAAAAAGUAGGAGAAUUGUGCAUAAAUAUGCACUUAUCAAAUUCCCCCGGACUUGAACUUUUGCACUCCGAGCAAAAUUGAAACAAAACAAAGAAAGCACACGCACAUCAAUAGCUACUCAUUCCAGGCUACAAGUCUUCUUCGGUUAAGUUUUCAUCGAUAGGUACUAAUCUUACACACUAAGGAUAUCGUAGGAACACUAAUCCACAAUUGUGCGGUCAUAAGGCUCCCUCCUAUACAAACCAAUCCAAAUCCUGUCGUUAUGCCUAAGUCUAACUUACUCAUCCUCUUUUUUCACUCUUUUUCAUUCUAGUGCAAUCACAUUAAGCCCUUUAUCUAUUCACACACAUGGUAACUGAGCUUGUUAGUGACUAUGAUCCAUUUUUUUUCUCAACAAUUUAGAAUUAAACAUUUUUUUUCUUUUCUUUUUUUCUUUUUCACUUUUUGUCUUUUUCUCUUUUUCUUCUUCUUUUUUUUUUAUAGCACAGGAUCAUUCACUUAUUUGCAUCAGCUCAACUACUUAGCAUGUGAUUUCUAGAUGG